rnacentral:rRNA from 1 species
CCUACGGGAGGCAGCAGUGAGGAAUAUUGGUCAAUGGGCGCGAGCCUGAACCAGCCAAGUAGCGUGAAGGAUGACUGCCCUACGGGUUGUAAACUUCUUUUAUUAAGGAAUAAAGUGAGGCACCUGUGCCUUUUUGUCUGUCUUUUAUGAAUAAGGCUCGGCUAACUCCGUGCCAGCAGCCGCGGUAAUACGGAAGGUCCGGGCGUUAUCCGGAUUUAUUGGGUGUAAAGGGAGCGUAGGCGGGUCUUUAAGCGGGCCGUGAAACUUUGGGGCUCAACCAUGAGAGUGCGGCGCGAACUGGAGAUCUUGAGUGCGCGGAAGGCAGGCGGAAUUCGUGGUGUAGCGGUGAAAUGCUUAGAUAUCACGAAGAACCCCGAUUGCGAAGGCAGCCUGCCGCAGCGUUACUGACGCUGAAGCGCGAAAGCGCGGGUAUCGAACAGGAUUAGAUACCCGAGUAGUC